rnacentral:rRNA from 1 species
UACGGAGGGUGCAAGCGUUAUCCGGAUUUACUGGGUUUAAAGGGUGUGUAGGCGGGCAUUUAAGUCAGUGGUGAAAUCUCCGAGCUCAACUUGGAAACUGCCAUUGAUACUAUUGAUCUUGAAUUUUGUUGAGGUAGGCGGAAUAAGUCAUGUAGCGGUGAAAUGCAUAGAUAUGACUUAGAACACCAAUUGCGAAGGCAGCUUACUAAGCAAAUAUUGACGCUGAGGCACGAAAGCGUGGGGAGCAAACAGG